rnacentral:rRNA from 1 species
UCAGCUCGUGUCGUGAGUAUGUUGGGUUAAGUCCGUAACGAGCGCAACCCUGUCCUUAGUUACCAGCACGUUAUGGUGGGCACUCUAAGGAGACUGCCGGUGCAAACCGGAGGAAGGUGGGGAUGACGUCAAGUCAUCAUGGCCCUUACGGCCUGGGCUACACACGUGCUACAAUGGUCGGUACAAAGGGUUGCCAAGCCGCGAGGUGGAGCUAAUCCCAUAAAACCGAUCGUAGUCCGGAUCGCAGUCUGCAACUCGACUGCGUGAAGUCGGAAUCGCUAGUAAUCGUGAAUCAGAAUGUCACGGUGAAUACGUUCCCGGGCCUU